AGUCGAACGAAGGCUUCGGCCUUAGUGGCGCACGGGUGCGUAACGCGUGGGAAUCUGCCCCUUGGUUCGGAAUAACAGUUGGAAACGACUGCUAAUACCGGAUGAUGACGUAAGUCCAAAGAUUUAUCGCCGAGGGAUGAGCCCGCGUAGGAUUAGGUAGUUGGUGUGGUAAAGGCGCACCAAGCCGACGAUCCUUAGCUGGUCUGAGAGGAUGAUCAGCCACACUGGGACUGAGACACGGCCCAGACUCCUACGGGAGGCAGCAGUGGGGAAUAUUGGACAAUGGGCGAAAGCCUGAUCCAGCAAUGCCGCGUGAGUGAUGAAGGCCUUAGGGUUGUAAAGCUCUUUUACCCGGGAUGAUAAUGACAGUACCGGGAGAAUAAGCUCCGGCUAACUCCGUGCCAGCAGCCGCGGUAAUACGGAGGGAGCUAGCGUUAUUCGGAAUUACUGGGCGUAAAGCGCACGUAGGCGGCUUUGUAAGUAAGAGGUGAAAGCCCAGAGCUCAACUCUGGAAUUGCCUUUUAGACUGCAUCGCUUGAAUCAUGGAGAGGUCAGUGGAAUUCCGAGUGUAGAGGUGAAAUUCGUAGAUAUUCGGAAGAACACCAGUGGCGAAGGCGGCUGACUGGACAUGUAUUGACGCUGAGGUGCGAAAGCGUGGGGGGCAAACAGGAUUAGAUACCCUGGUAGUCCACGCCGUAAACGAUGAUAACUAGCUGUCCGGACACUUGGUGUUUGGGUGGCGCAGCUAACGCAUUAAGUUAUCCGCCUGGGGAGUACGGCCGCAAGGUUAAAACUCAAAUGAAUUGAC
rnacentral:rRNA from 1 species